UGGGGGAUAUUGCACAAUGGGCGCAAGCCUGAUGCAGCGACGCCGCGUGGGGGAUGAAGGCCUUCGGGUUGUAAACUUCUUUUGCUCUGAACAAGGCGCACUUUGGGGUGUGUUGAGUGUAGGGGUUGAUUAGCGCCGGCUAACUACGUGCCAGCAGCCGCGGUAAUACGUAGGGCGCGAGCGUUGUCCGGAAUUAUUGGGCGUAAAGGGCUUGUAGGUGGCUGGUUGCGUCUGUCGUGAAAGCUCAUGGCUUAACUGUGGGUUUGCGGUGGGUACGGGCUGGCUUGAGUGCAGUAGGGGAGGCUGGAAUUCCUGUUGUAGCGGUGGAAUGCGCAGAUAUCAGGAGGAAUACCGGUGGCGAAGGCGGGUCUCUGGGCUGUUACUGACACUGAGGAGCGAAAGCAUGGGGAGCGAACAGG
rnacentral:rRNA from 1 species